AUUCAUAAAAACCUUAUUAGAUUUAUAUGAACUGAUACAGAGUAAAGUGAGCAGAACUAGAACAAUGUAUACAAUGAUUAGAACAUGGUAAUGGCAAACCACUCUGAGAGACUUCGGUACUGAUGGAUUUAAUAACCAAUCAUGACUUUAGAAGAUAAAUAAUGAAUCAUGUUUCCCACCUCUUGACAGAGAGGCGAUGGACUAGAGGCACGGAAUGAGACACACCUUUUCAGCCAACGUCACAGAAGAAAGCAGAAGGAAGUUCAGAGGACGGCACAGGCAAGCAGGACAGUUUCAGAACUGCUGUACUGAAUCUGUUACAACCUCCUAUAAAAAGAUUUUUUAUGGAAUCCAGAGAGACAACUCUGAAAGGGCAAAGACUUUGGGCCCUCUCCCUCCAAAGAUGACAUGUAGACCCAUGAAAAUGAGACUUGUGUUUGUUCUUUUGUUUUAGGUGAAGGAAUUAAGAGCCUUCCACCUUGUAAGUUUGACAGGUCGAAAGAAUGAGAUGUCAAAGAGUCUGGGCAUCUGAGCAUCCAAUUGUCUAGGACUUGGGGAGUCUAGGAGUUGAGUCCAUUUGGGGUUUUGCCACCAGCCACAGUAAUGAUGCCCUGGGCAUGCAGGAGCAGCUUUAGAACCUAGCCCAGCAGUAACUAACAUGAGGUCUUAUCCAGCCACAAUGUCACAUUUGUAUGGAAACUUGAAAGGACAACUUCUAUGUCCAAACUAUGCUAAGCCUGAAUCUACUCUCUCCAGAGACCGAGGUGGUAUAGGGUAUCUCAGUCUGCUUCAGAGGUCUUGGGGAGAAAUGUUUGUACUUUUGUUCAUGCAGUAUUUUCAAAGUGAAUAAGCCUGUCUAAAAUUUAAUUGAUGUUAAGUGAUUAAAGGGAGCCAGGACUCCAGUUUCUGGUGGUUAAGAGUGGGGAAUGCUGGAGUAGCUAGGUGGCGCA